GAGUCACCGCGCCAGGAAGCCGCACGAAACCUCGGUUCGGCAGCUCGAACGCAGGCUGACUUAGGACAAGGCAGCGACGUCUAGAGGAAGCCGCAGAGGGGGCCGCGUCCCUUGGCGGGAGGGGAGUGAGGGCCGCGGACGGCCCGGACCCAAGCUUAGACGCUUGGCCCACGGCACACAGGACAGGGAGACCGACUACCUUCACCUAAACGCUGGCGCAGGGAAAUGACGCAGCGCAUCGACCAAUCGGGAAGUGUCUGACUCUGAAUCUCGCGAUAUUCACGGGAGGAAAAUGAGCCAAUCGCAAUGCCCCUUCUUCCAGGCCGCGGUGAUUGGCUUGAGGACUCACAUGAUCGUUCGAGGCCACACGUGACCGCUCCCCUGGCGACACGUGAUCGACCUGCCACUCUGCAGAAGUGGCUUCUGGACAGCGGCAAACAGGCGUCCGUGGAACUGAACGGCAGGUCCUGGGUUACAGCCCCGUCACUUUCCACUUGAUAGGCGGGGUUGGUGACCAGGGUCCCAUGUGACCCCCGUCAUGGAACCCCGAGACGCGACCGUAGCGUGGAUAGGACAGGGCCAACCUGUCCCCUGUAGCAGCUCUGAGAACUGAAGUAGGUGGGAGGCUGGGGAUGCCGAGAGAUUAACGAAAGAAACCAGUAAGCAGGGUCAGGAAACUCGUCCCACCUAAGUGGCGUGUACCGGACACGUGGUAACGUAAAGAGGUAGAGGUGCUUGCUAUGUAAAUAACUAUGGAGGACCAGAACUCACAUAGAUGAGGACUUUGAGCACCCCGUCUUUCCCACUACCACUCACUGGGUGCCUCUUUCUUUCCUUCUUUCUCUAAUUUACUCAUAAGACAGGGUCUCGCCUUGGCUAGCCUUAUUGUCUGUCUGUCUGUCUGUCUAUAAAACAGAGUCUCUUCUUGGCUGACCUGGAACUCACUGUGUAGACCCUAAACUCAAGAGAUGUCCCUGCCUCUGCCCUAAGAAUAAAGGCGUGCACUUCCUGGCUUGACUUCUGUCUCCCUCUCUCCUUUCUUUGUAGUAAACUGCCUGUCUCCGACUCUGUCCCUGAGUCUUACUGUUCUAGGGCUCAAAAAUCUGGAAAUUUGUGCUGAUUCCCUCCAGGGUCAUAGCCAUGCCUGUUCCAAGGAAGCCCUAGCGAUGUCUGUUUCCCACUGCUUCCUGCCCAAGAUACUGGUAACCCUGGAAGGUAGCCCUGGUGUGGGGGUGCUGUCAGAAGCAUGGACACAAUUCUCUCUCUCCAUGAUGUUAGAAUUUCCUGAAUAAUAAAUUGGCAGUCU